UCAUCUACCUGCCAGCUCAUUGUGGCAGAGAUGUAUACUGUAAUCUUCCAGAACAUUUUAAUUAGAGAUGUGAAUCCUGAUGGCAACUGUCUAUAGGUUGAAAAUAUAAAGAGAACGGGAUCCUAUUGUAUACAGCACCAAAAGCAAAGAUGAUGAGCUAAUGCUGAAAUGCCUAUGAAGACAGAAGAACAAAAGAGAAUGUUGCAGGCUAAAGAAUCUGACAAGAAUGGAGAAAAGUGGCACGGAUUAUAGAAUCUAUCUCAUUGAGAAGGGAACAGAAAAAUGAUGCAUUAUACUGCACAGGGGGAAAAAAAGUCUGUCAUGAAUCUUCUGAGUCCAGAUUCCUCGGGGUCUUGGAAUAAAGGUAACCCUGCCAUGUGCCCAAAGACAGAAUCACCUGGAAGCUUAAAAUCCUUCAGUCACUCAGUCUGAUGCCCAGAUCCUGUCUUAGGCCAAUGAAAUCAGGAUCUCACUCAGGUCUUGAUGAGGGUUGAAGACAUUCAUCUGAAGUUUCCCCAAGUCACCAAAGGUACAGUCAAGAAUGUCAACUUUGGGUGAGAGAACAGAGUAAAGGAGGCAAGGAAGAGUCAAAUCUUGUAAGCUCUCUUAGCAUUUUGUGCUUCCAUGAAAACCAUCUGAAAGGGGAAAAGAGGAGAAAACACUCUCCAUGAUGGCAGAUUUCAGCUAACUUGCUCCCGAAUCUCAGUGCAUACCUUGGGUUUUGUGGAAAAGGCUACUGGAGGCUUCAACAGGAGUAGUAUUUUCCAUUUGUAUCUGGAGUAAUAUAUAGAUCAGGCUAAAAUGAGUUCAAGGAAUAUAUUCUUACAUGAAAUAAAAUAAUGCAAGAAUAGGAAUAAAAGCAUAAGAACGGAAGGGAUAUUUUUCUAUGACCUGAUUUUCUAAAUGUCUCACGUUUUUUCGUAAGCAUUUUACAAAUCUUAGUUCAUUUUGUCCUUUGUGAUAGAUACAUCAUCUCUUUAUAGACAAGGAAAUUUUUCAAAGAAUAGAGCUGGGAUUUGAAAUCCAACUGCCUAAACAUAGUGCCUGUGCUCUUAUAAUUACUAUUUUACACGCUUAUUUAAAAAUUCUUCCAUUUUUGACAUUUUUGGCAUUUCUAAUUUUCUGUCUUUUUUAAAAUUGGUGAAUAGUUUCACAUCUGUAUUAUUUCCUGUGUUUAGAUUUACUUUCUUUGGAACAGAAUCUCAGAAGCAAGUUGUCAUAAAGUGUGAAUAAGCUUAUGGCAUUUUAUAUAUUAUUAAAUUGCUUGUUAAAGGGGUUGUACAAAUUCACAAUGCCUCCAGAAAUGUAUAAUAGACACAUGCCAAGAAUAGUAAAUUAUCCCCA